rnacentral:rRNA from 1 species
UGGCGACCGGCGCACGGGUGAGUAACACGUAUCCAACCUGCCGAUGACUCGGGGAUAGCCUUUCGAAAGAAAGAUUAAUACCCGAUGGCAUAGUUCUUCCGCAUGGUAGAACUAUUAAAGAAUUUCGGUCAUCGAUGGGGAUGCGUUCCAUUAGGUUGUUGGCGGGGUAACGGCCCACCAAGGCGACGAUCGGUAGCCGGACUGAGAGGUUGAACGGCCACAUUGGGACUGAGACACGGCCCAG